rnacentral:rRNA from 1 species
UUGGUUAAGUUAGAAAGGGCGCACGGUGGAUGCCUUGGCACUAGGAGCCGAAGAAGGACGGGACUAACACCGAUAUGCUUUGGGGAGCUGUACGUAAGCGUUGAUCCAGAGAUUUCCGAAUGGGGGAACCCACUAUCUUUAGUCGGAUAGUAUCCUUACGUGAAUACAUAGCGUGAGGAAGGCAGACCCAGGGAACUGAAACAUCUAAGUACCUGGAGGAAGAGAAAGAAAAAUCGAUUUCCUGAGUAGCGGCGAGCGAAACGGAAAGAGCCCAAACCAAGAAGCUUGCUUCUUGGGGUUGUAGGACACUCUAUACGGAGUUACAAAAGAAAGUUAUAAAUGAAGCGGUCUGGAAAGGCCCGCCAAAGACGGUAACAGCCCGGUAGUUGAAAUGGCUUUCCCUCCAGAGUGGAUCCUGAGUACGGCGGAACACGUGAAAUUCCGUCGGAAUCCGGGAGGACCAUCUCCCAAGGCUAAAUACUCCCUAGUGACCGAUAGUGAACCAGUACCGUGAGGGAAAGGUGAAAAGCACCCCGGAAGGGGAGUGAAACAGUUCCUGAAACCGUGUGCCUACAAGUAGUUAGAGCCCGUUAAUGGGUGAUAGCGUGCCUUUUGUAGAAUGAACCGGCGAGUUACGAUUUGUUGCAAGGUUAAGCGGAAAAAGCGGAGCCGUAGCGAAAGCGAGUCUGAAUAGGGCGCAUAAGUAACAGGUCGUAGACCCGAAACCAGGUGAUCUACCCAUGUCCAGGAUGAAGGUAAGGUAAUACUUACUGGAGGUCCGAACCCACGCACGUUGAAAAGUGCGGGGAUGAGGUGUGGGUAGCGGAGAAAUUCCAAUCGAACUUGGAGAUAGCUGGUUCUCUCCGAAAUAGCUUUAGGGCUAGCCUCGAGGUAAAGAGUCAUGGAGGUAGAGCACUGUUUGGACUAGGGGCCCUUCUCGGGUUACCGAAUUCAGAUAAACUCCGAAUGCCAUGUACUUAUACUCGGGAGUCAGACUGCGAGUGAUAAGAUCCGUAGUCGAAAGGGAAACAGCCCAGACCACCAGUUAAGGUCCCCAAAUAUAUGUUAAGUGGAAAAGGAUGUGGGGUUGCUUAGACAACCAGGAUGUUGGCUUAGAAGCAGCCACCAUUGAAAGAGUGCGUAAUAGCUCACUGGUCGAGUGACCCCGCGCCGAAAAUGUACCGGGGCUAAACAUAUUACCGAAACUGUGGAUGAACCUCUUUAGAGGUUCGUGGUAGGAGAGCGUUCUAAGGGCGGUGAAGUCAGACCGGAAGGACUGGUGGAGCGCUUAGAAGUGAGAAUGCCGGUAUGAGUAGCGAAAGAAGGGUGAGAAUCCCUUCCACCGAAUAUCUAAGGUUUCCUGAGGAAGGCUCGUCCGCUCAGGGUUAGUCGGGACCUA